rnacentral:rRNA from 1 species
AAUCAACGCUGGCGGCGUGCCUCAGACAUGCAAGUCGAACGAUUAAAGCUCUCUUCGGAGAGUGCAUAGAGUGGCGCACGGGUGAGUAACACGUAAGUAAUCUACCUUCGAGUGGGGAAUAACGUCCGGAAACGGACGCUAAUACCGCAUAAUGCAGCGGCAUCGUAAGAUGACAGUUGUUAAAGAUUCAUCGCUUGAAGAGGAGCUUGCGGCAGAUUAGCUAGUUGGUAAGGUAAUGGCUUACCAAGGCUACGAUCUGUAACCGGUCUUAGAGGACGGUCGGUCACACUGACACUGAAUAACGGGUCAGACUCCUACGGGAGGCAGCAGUCGGGAAUUUUGGGCAAUGGGCGAAAGCCUGACCCAGCAACGCCGCGUGGAGGAUGAAGGCUUUAGGGUUGUAAACUCCUUUUGUGGGGAAAAGAAUGGAUGGUACCCCAAGAAUAAGUCACGGCUAACUACGUG